rnacentral:lncRNA from 1 species
GAAAUUCUCUGAGUGGGUCAAAUGGGGACUGGAAAAAUUCCACCCACUAGCUCAGCUAAUGGGUAAAAAUGCUGGACAUUUAUCUGGAGCUGCAGGGGGUAAAGUGUCAUCCUUGGGAAAUUCAAAGCUGGCCUGUACCUGCUGAGAGCACCAGGGAUAUGGUCACAUUGCAAGCCUGUUGCCAGCACCCCAGGCAGAGUCAUCAACAAUUACUUUGGAGGAGGGCCACUUCCACCUUCCAGGGCAUAGGUGACCCCUGUGGAAAACAAGUACCCCUGGAACAUCCUAGAAGUGGAGGUUCUUGAGUGGCAGGCUUUCAGAUCAUCUGGUACUCCUUCCAGAGCUCCUGACCAGAGAUGGGGCAUUUGUGAACACAAGAUACAGCCAAGCAACCUGUCCCGCUGUUGUUAUUACAGUGAGUUAUAUUCUUGCCCACCUAGGCCACUGGAAUGAGAAUGCAGUAAAACAGCUUGCCUCAGAGUGGUCUUCCCUGGAACACACAGCUUCUGUUAAGCAUUCAUGAUUCUGACGGGCCAGUCAUCCCUUCAUUGACUUUGUCCAGCAGCUCCACCAUUACAGUCUCAUUUUAGAAAAUAAAGACACUUGGAAACAAAUUGAAAGGGCGUUUUCCUGCACCAACCCCAUUUGACUUGCCUCAGCAUGCUGAAUGGAGGGCUGCACUCCCC